GCAACUCGACUACAUGAAGCUGGAAUCGCUAGUAAUCGCAGAUCAGAAUGCUGCGGUGAAUACGUUCCCGGGUCUUGUACACACCGCCCGUCACACCAUGGGAGUCGGAAAUGCCCGAAGCCGGUGACCCAACCAAAAGGAGGGAGCCGUCGAAGGCAGGUCUGAUAACUGGGGUGAAGUCGUAACAAGGUAAC
rnacentral:rRNA from 1 species